ensembl:snoRNA Gm54654 small nucleolar RNA SNORA61
ACCCUCCGGUUCCUUUCCCCAUCAGAUCUAGUUGCUGGUCUUGGUUGUUGUACAGUGGGAAGAUUACACCAAAGCUGUCCUCUCUGAGAUGUAGUUUGGUGUAGAGUAUGAAGGCCAGAUUCAAGCAAAG